GUCCAUCACAUUCCACCAUCAUUUCUAACAGCCAUCACAUUCCACCAUCAUUUCUAACCUCAUGCCCCCUUCCUUCCCCCUCCCGCUCCUCUGCCCUAUCUAGAGUUGUCUAUUUCUCCUAUGCUCCGCCUCCCUACCUCACUAUGAAUCAGCCUCCUUAUAUCAGAGAAAACAUUCAGCAUUUGUUUUUUUGGAAUUGACUAACUUCACAGUGUUGGCAAGGAUGUUGGGAAAAGGCACACUUAUACAUUGCUGGAGGGACUGCACAUUGGUGCAGCCAAUAUGGAAAGCAGUAUGGAGAUUCCUUGGAAAACUGGGAAUGGAGCCAAAGGACUUAAAAACAGCAUACUACAGGAACACAGCCACAUUAAUAUUUAUAGCAGCAAAAUUCACAGUAGCUAAACUGUGGACCCAACCUAGAUGACCUUCAGUAGAUGAAUGCAUUAAAAAAAUGUGGCAUAUAUACACAAUGGAAUAUUACUCAUCAAUAAAAGAGAAUAAAAUCAUGGCAUUUGCAGGUAAAUGUAUGGAGAUGGAGAAGAUAAUGCUAAGUGAAGUUAGCCAAUCCCAAAAAAACAAAUGCUGAAUGUUUUAAGACAGAUUUCUGUUACUGAUUACUAGACCAUUCCAUUGUGGUCAGGGAACAUAUUUUGUAUGAUUUGAAUCUUUUUAAGUUUAUCAAGAUUUGUUUUAUAGCUCCGACUAUAAUUUAUUUGGGGUAAGUACCAAAUACACUUGAAAAGAAUGUAUAUUUUGAUAUUUUUGAGUGGACUAUUCUACACUUGUCAAUUAGGUCAAGUUGACUGAAUUACAUUGUUUUUAUUUUCUAUAUCCUUACUGAUUUUUCUGUCUACUUUAUCGUUUUUUGGGGAAAGAGAGUGUUAAAAUCUCUGAUUAUAGUUUUAGGUUUGUCAGUCUUUCCUUGUAAUUAGGUUUACAAUUCUCUUCUCUCCAAUGAGAUAACCUCUUUCUCAUUAUGAAAUUACCUUUUUUAUUCCUUGUCUUUGCUCUGAAAUCUCCUUUGUCUGAUAUUAAUGUAGUGAAGCCAACUUUCUCCUAGUUUUGCUUUUUUAUCUAAUCUGAAAAUCUCA
rnacentral:lncRNA from 1 species